UUUCCUGCCCCCCCCCAGCCCUCCACCUUAGCGCUCUGGGGGAGGAGGGUGGCACAGCCUGGGACGGACCCGGUUGCUAGGCAGCCAGCCCCACCCAGGAGCCCCAAAGGCUGCCUCCACCGUUUCCGGGAACAGCAUGUUUUCGUCGAGAAAUAUCUCCUGACUCACUGGCUGCCCUGCCCCCAUCCUCCUCAGGGCGGAGGUAUUUUUAGCCUUAUUUGUACAAGAGAGCAGAAAGCAGGCUCAGCGUAUACCAGCCUGGGCGAGAGGAUUUAGAGUGUGGAAUUUAGAGCCCCUGGGAGUGUUGAGGGGGAGACGAGGGGACGACUUCCAAACAAGGGACUCUUCCAAACUCUUCCAACUUGUCCACGGAAACCAAGUGGGUGGUCCCGGCCGCUCCAGAGGGAGCAAAGCGCCUCAUUUUUACUGGUGCUCACAGUCCGGGGGAGAACACAAUGGAAGACAUUUUCCCCCUGGUAUUUGUGAAUGAGGGAGGAAGAUUGUGAUACCAGAACAGCAAGGAGAAACGUGGCGGGGGCGUGGUGGGGCCAGCCACACAAUAGCAUCUCUUGUCAGAUAAGUAUGGGGGGGUGACUCCUCAGCCUGCUACCGUGCAGCAGCGGGGGGCACUUAAUUUCAUACGUCUUUCUAGAACCUUCUAAUAGGCAACUCGUCUCACCACGCUGUUCUUUCAGGCUGUUAUCCCACUGCAGUUAUCCCUGGAAUAACUGCCAGCGUAAGACCGACUGAGGUGGCAGAAGCCGGAAAAGGGUAGGGCUGGUGUCCGGCUGGUCUCCCUGGCUGAGCAGCCAUGCUAGGGCCAGCCUGACCUUCCGAGCUGAGAGUGAGUCACUUGUUUUCUGAGAACCACAGGGAAGGGUGCGGCUGAGCCCAGCCUUGUAUGCUUAUGGCAUCUCCAGGGAUAAACAACUUCCCUGAUUGCCAUAAGCACCUGUUGUCAGGGCUGGGUGGGUGGCAAGCCCGGGAGGUGCCAUUCUCGGUGCUGUUUGCUGGACAACUGUCUCACUUCGACCUGGGGGCGGGGAGGGGAGGUCUGAGCGCUGUGGCUUCUCCUCACCAGACCCCCGAAUCCAGGGCCUCCGUGGCCAGCGCCCCCAAACCACGGGGGCUCGCCCUGCUUGCAAACUGCCCAGAUACACGCAACGCCUGGUUUGUUCAUCGCCUUUCUCCUCACCCUUCACUCAAAGCCCUACCCGCAAUUCCAUCUAGUGUUUUCCCACACAAAACCCCUGGCUCUGACCCGAGUGAGUUCGCCCCCCACCUCUGGUCAGUUAGUAAGGGGUGUGAACACAUUUCACCAAGUCGCCCACCAUGGCCGGGCCUGCCUCAGCGCUGACUUCAACCCUCCUGGACCCUCACGUGAGGGUCACCCUUAGCGUGAGGGUAGUGCCCCCUUUGUGGGCUCAAAGUCCCCAAACCCUCCGCACCCUGCCACGUUUUCUUAAAUGACGAAGAAGCCCCCCAAACCCAGGGGCGCAACACGGGGCUGCAACCAGGAGCCGCCCCACCCCCACGCCGUGCCGCAGCGCUGACGUCAGCGGCCCCACGCGGCACAGCCGCGCCCAGAGUCACGCGCUGCCGCCCGCGGCGGUGACGCACCCUCUGCAGAGAUCCCUCCGCCGCCUGGAAUUUUCCAGGCGCUGCUCGGCCGGCCCUUCUUUCGGGUCUAGGGACGGGCGGACGACCUGAGGCGACCCUGGGGCGGUUCGGUGGAGUUCUCGGGCCGGGGGCACAUGCCUGCCUGCCAAACCGGCUCGGGGUGACGCCAUGCCCUACCGCUGAGGAAGCCCCUGUCCAUGUGACCUUGCCAUCUGCCCUCGCUCCCGCGGAGCCCUGCUGAGGGUGGGAGCGGGUUAAAAUGGAGGAAUCUGAGGGUGGCCACCUCAGGGAUCCCGUGAUCCAUGCCCUGUGUCAUGUCCUUGGGCGGGGACAGGGAGGGACUCCUUUUCCGGUGGCAGUGGAGGAAUCCUUUGUGUUGAGCAAUGCCCCUGUGACGCGACUCGGGGCUAUAAAAGCAAAAGUUGUGGCCCCGCCAGUCCAGCAGGAGUCAGAGACAGGGAGGCCUGCUGUCGCGUCUGGUUGUAGGGAGGAGGUGGCCAGUUGAAGACCUCAGGAGACAGAAGGGGGGAUGACAGAGUCAGAGGAGUCUGGGGGUGCGGUGGGCGAAGGGAUGAAGAAGAGGAAGGCUAACAGGGAGACAGGCCUUGAGGACAGCUACGAUGCCAGGGCCUGCCAUAACCUGCAGGCAGGGCCAUCGAUGGCCCCCGCUGGCGGGGUGGGGGACCGCUGCCAGGGCCCUGCUCCUCCAUGGGCUGAGUGACCCCGCGUGGGGAGGAAAGGAAGGCGUGGAGGAGGACAGUCAGUAACCCUGCCUGGAAUAAUCUGGAAGCGGGCAGUGGGUGCAGGGCUGUUAGGUGGGCUGGGAGGGCAGACUUGGAACUUGGCGAUGCUGGCAGCCCUGUUUUUUUCCAGAGGGUUGUGAGCGCACCUGGGGAGGAGGCCUGGUCUUGUGGAAGCUGAACUUAGCUGCGCCAGGCUGACAGCUCUGCCUGAGGUGGUGGCUGCAGCCCAACCCCUUGGACUUUGUUCUAGGUCCCAUGCCAGCUUCUUCUGCAAGCUCACCCUACCCCUCCUCCUCUUGCCUUUAACUCUGUGUUUGCUUUAUACCUUGCCUCUGGUAACCUGGUAAGCCUGGGGCCGCAGCCCGCUGCUGGCGGAGUCGGUAUUGAUGGUAACGGUGAAGAGGCUGCCGGGUGGGGCCGGGCUGGGCUUGCUGGUGGAGAGGGUGAUGGUUGACCCUGUGCUCUGGGGCGGGCCCACAGCCAUGGUUCCAGCUGAAGUCCCCGACGUGCCUCGUAGCUGGUGGCUUGGUGCUGUAGUGUCGGUCACAACAAGCAGAUGGCAUCCGGAGCGAUGGAGCCCCUGGCCAGUGUGAGUCGUGGCAGUGCAGGACGCGGCCACCGUGGAGGGACGGACCCGCCAAGCGGACGCCUGCAGAUGGAAGGCUUAGCAGCAGCAGAAGCAAACUCUGUGGUGCACGAGUGUGUCUCGGCUUGCGCAGGAGGCCAUGCCUGCCGAGGGUGUCAGAUCAGCUGCUGAGGGGGUGUGCAUCCUGCCUGAGUGAGGGACCCUCGGCUUCGAGUGCACGGUUGUUCUGGAAGUACCACCCUCUAGGCCUGGGAAUGCCAGUGGGCACCCCUCCUUUCUUUAGGGAGGAAGGGUUCCAGAUGCUGCCGCUUCUAAAGCUGAGUCAUCAGUUGUGCUAGUUCUGUCCUGCAGCCUUACUUCAAGAAGAUUCUUGAGCCAUAGGACUUUUCAACUUUGGUUCGUGUCACCAUGCAGUGAUACUUGGUAGAUGGAGUCCAGUGGCCUCACCUACCCAUCUGCUCUGCACCUGCCACCUGUCUGCCUACCUGUGUCUUAGCCGGAGGAAUUUUUAGUGUGGUCCUAUGACCUGUGUUGGGGAAAGCUGCUCAAUUUUAAAUGCCUUAGGCACAGGGCAUGUAUUAGAUGAAGCCAGUUGUUUGGUGGGGGUGGGUGCAGGUCGGUUAGGCCAUGUUCUGUGUGGGAGAUGGCAAGCCUGCUUUGGG